rnacentral:rRNA from 1 species
UACGGAGGGUGCAAGCGUUAAUCGGAAUUACUGGGCGUAAAGCGCGCGUAGGCGGCUGGAUAAGUCGAUUGUGAAAGCCUUGGGCUCAACCUGAGAAUUGCAGUCGAGACUGUUCGGCUAGAGUGUGGGAGAGGGUGGUGGAAUUCCCGGUGUAGCGGUGAAAUGCGUAGAUAUCGGGAGGAACAUCAAAGGAGACGGCGACCACCGGGAUCUACACUGACGCUGAGGUGCGAAAGCGUGGGUAGCAAACAGG